GUAGGGGAGCGAGCGUUAUCCGGAAUUAUUGGGCGUAAAGAGUGCGUAGGCGGGUUUAUUAAGUCUGAUGUGAAAGCCCCCGGGCUUAACCGGGGAGGGUCAUUGGAAACUGGUAGACUUGAGUACAGUAGAGGCAAGUGGAAUUCCAUGUGUAGCGGUAAAAUGCGUAGAUAUAUGGAGGAACACCAGUGGCGAAGGCGGCUUGCUGGGCUGGAACUGACGCUGAGGCACGAAAGCGUGGGGGGCAAACAGGAUUAGAUACCCUGGUAGUCCACGCCGUAAACGAUGGGCACUAAGUGUUGGCAGAGACGUCAGUGCUGUAGUUAACGCAUUAAGUGCCCCGCCUGGGGAGUACGGUCGCAAAGACUGA
rnacentral:rRNA from 1 species